rnacentral:rRNA from 1 species
UACGUAGGGUGCAAGCGUUGUCCGGAAUUAUUGGGCGUAAAGAGCUCGUAGGCGGCUUGUCACGUCGGAUGUGAAAGCCCGGGGCUUAACUCCGGGUCUGCAUUCGAUACGGGCUGGCUAGAGUGUGGUAGGGGAGAUCGGAAUUCCUGGUGUAGCGGUGAAAUGCGCAGAUAUCAGGAGGAACACCGGUGGCGAAGGCGGAUCUCUGGGCCGAUACUGACGCUGAGGCACGAGAGCGUGGGGAGCGAACCGG